rnacentral:pre_miRNA from 1 species
AAUCGUUGGAUGAGUGUGAAGCACUGGAUUGAUUUCGUUCAAUCCAAGCCCCACAUUCAUCAGGGGUUUGU